ensembl:snRNA
AUGUUGUAUGAAAGGAGAGGUUAACACCUUGAAAAGGAUGGAAUUGGCCUUGUAGCCUGCAACACAUAUACAGUUAAGGCAUUACCACCUAUUUCGUGGCAUCUCUGGCUGCCUAGCUCA